UUCUUCUAUAAUUGCAUAAACAAAGCCCGCUGCUCCUUCUGUAUCUUUUCUUUUCAAUUCCAAUGGAGAGCUAAGAUAUUUCUCCCAGCAGGGUCGUCAUUUAGAACCAUCCACUUGUUCUUCAUCAUUGCAAAUGCAAAUGGCAAAUCCUGGAAUCCAAUUUGAUGAAAGUUGGAUUAAUUCACCAAAAACUGGAAUUCAUCAGGGUGGAAGCUCAAGCAGUAAAAGUGGAAAGGUUGAUGGGGAUAAUGAAAAUAAGGAGAUUACAAGGCAUAGAUAUGCAUUUCAGACAAGGAGUCAGAUUGACAUACUUGAUGAUGGUUAUCGAUGGAGGAAAUAUGGGCAGAAGACAGUUAAGAACA
rnacentral:misc_RNA from 1 species